rnacentral:lncRNA from 1 species
CAAUUUCAACACUAAAUAUUCAGAAUGAUUCAAAAAAUAAAAAAAAUAAAAAAAUCAUUAUUCCUUUCUAGGGUUUUCAUUGUGCUUUACUCAAUCUCAGUAAAAUGCCUGAUUAAUCUUAACACAAUAUCGCUUUUAGGACAUUAAAAAAAUGUUUAAGCCUCCAUUUUUCAGAUUUUUUGUUAUCUUCAUUUUUUGUGUUUUUGGUCUCAGUUCUUGGAUUCAUGCUUCAAUCUGUUUUUUUUUUCCCAUCCCCUAAUCUUUCAAGAUUUUCCAAAAAUUCACAUAUAUUUAUUGAAAGAGAUUACCAAUAUCAUAAACGAUGCUAUAUAAACCAGAGCAACCAGGUCCACCAGCCAUCCAAAGCAAAAGAGGGUCCAUAUUAGGAUUGCUUUCGGACUCCAUGAAAUAGUAGAAUAGUUGUAUUUCUUCAUUUUCUCCCACACCAAUGUAUCUAUCAGUCAUUUUGAAGAUGAAAA